rnacentral:lncRNA from 1 species
AGUGCAUUUUGGGCAUUUAUAAAUUGCAAAUAAUUGAGUAUGGGGAUAAGAAAAAUAGCUAUUACAGGGAUAGGUACAAGUAUGGGGAUAAGAAAAAUAGCGUUUAGAUGAAAAUUGGGUUGUUCCCGAGAAUAAGAAAAAUAUUAGAAAGUUUUAUAUAGAAAAUGGAGGUGUUGGUGGGGAUAACCGAGAACUACUAUUCUCGGGUAAAAAAUUAGCGUUUGGAUAUAAAGGAGGGGAUAAGGACCUAUCCCUAUUCCUAUUCCCAAACCAAACGGUGCUAGUGUUUUUGAUUGUUUUUUUAAAAUUUUUAUAGGU